AGUGGAAUUGCUGGGUCACGUGGUAAUUCUCUGUCUGGCUUUUCGAGGAAUCGCCAGACUGUUUUCCAUAGCAGUUGCGCCACUUGACAUUCCCACCAGCAAU
rnacentral:pre_miRNA from 1 species